rnacentral:rRNA from 1 species
UACGUAGGGGGCAAGCGUUGUCCGGAAUCAUUGGGCGUAAAGCGCGCGUAGGCGGCCCUGUAAGUCCGUUGUGAAAGUCGAAGGCUCAACCUUCGAAAGCCGAUGGAUACUGCAGGGCUAGAGUCCGGAAGAGGCGAGUGGAAUUCCUGGUGUAGCGGUGGAAUGCGCAGAUAUCAGGAAGAACACCCGUGGCGAAAGCGGCUCUCUGGAACGGUACUGACGCUGAGACGCGAAAGCGUGGGGAGCGAACAGG